GUGAGAGAGAAACAAAGAAGCAGAAGAAGAAAAUACAACAGAAGAAGGAGAAGAAGGUGGCGACGAAUCGGCAGAACCGCGUCCACCGCAGAACAGUAUCGCAACGGCUCCUUCGUAACCGGAGGUAGGUACUGCAAAUGUGAUGAACCAGUUCAUUAGUUGUUGUACGUCAGGGAUUUGGACCCUGAGAUCGACCGACAAGACGCACCUAUACGAUUUGUUUAUCCAGGUCCGGCAAGUGAUUUCGGUUCAACCAAGAAUGAGUGACAUCCCCCAAAGAUGUUCCUGACUGGAAGAAGCUUGGUGUCGAAGGUGUAAUUUCUCAGAAUGAAUGGUAUGAAACGGUGGUGCCAUCAUCAUUGUAUCAUCUUCAUUUGUUAUACUCAGUGUGCCUCCCUCAUCAACUAUGAAGAUGUUGGUCUUAACUAAUGCUGCUAGCAAAGUGUUAGGUAGAGGAGAGGCAAAUAUAGCUAUCAGGAAGGUUUGUUCUUCAUAGUUGAAUUUAUUUUCUUUCACUGAAUGUUUUAGGGGUUAAAUUGUUUGUGCAGAAUAUAAUUAAAAAUGCAAAAUAUGUGAAUACUAAGAACUCUGUGCUUGAUGAGCUGGGCGAAAGGACACUACAUGGAACGUGCUGAGUUGAUGGAUUCAGUGCUUGAUGUGGUGAAGAAAGAAACUGAGAAUUGUGAUUGCCUUCGUUGUGCAUAAUAUUCUUUUUGGUCAGUUGAGGAUAAAAGGGAGAGCACACAGACAAGCUUUUGGUGGUUUGAAGUCACUCCCUCAAAGCAUCAGAAUGAGUUUCCAUCAAUGCCUCCCGUAAAUUCAGCUUACUCUAUCCAGUCUGAUGCGGUUGAAAAUGAAUCAUAUCAAAGCUUCUCAAAGUACCCUAGCAGACAGCAGCCCUUAUUCUAUAAUAUAUAGAGAAGAAAGAAUACUUUGGUUUUGGACAUUCUAUAAUAAAUAAGUUUGGAGCAAUGAAGAUCAUCGAGUAAUGCCAAAAAAAAAACUAUUGCGCAUACCCUUCCUGUUUCACUUAAUAACAUUGGAGGUGUAUUCAUGGGAGCCUGUUUUGUAUUAAUGGAAAACUUUUGGGAUACUCAUACUACUGAAACUCUGUUGGAGUUUGGAUAGCAGAUAUAUCGGGACUAUGUGACUGGGUUUCACAAGCUCAAGAAGAAGAGGAGAAAGGUGGCACAAAAGCAAUUCUAAGGAGGAAACAUAUGGGGCUACAUAGGAGCUCAAAAUUGGAUUUUAAUGUUUUUGACAAAGGUCAAAAUGGUUUUAUAUCACCCUGUGAGCCGACGGUGACUGUUGAUGCAGCUGCAAGGAGAAAGAACAGUGGCAUGGUGAAUGGUGUUACUGCCAUCAGUGAAGGAGGAGAAGUUGGCAACAAGUUGAAACACCGGUCAAAAGAAUGGAGAGCUCGGAGAUCCUGUCAUCGGCGGUCUGGAAUAGGAAAUUGAUUAUGUGAGGGUGCUCAAUCAAGUCCUUCCAAAUGAUUUUUGCAGCAUAUGAGUGCUCUUCCAAUACUGUCAUUAUCCUCCAACAUAAGUCCAUUGUGGUUAAGUGCAGAGUAUGGAAGAGGACAGCAGCUUAAUGGCCAUUUGUUUUACGGCGAAGGAUUUUAGUGUGGAUCACUUUUUGUAGAUAAGUUUAAUUUUCGCCGAUUCUGUUUAUUUUUUAAAGGUUAGCUUUUAGGAUUUGCUUUUUGGCUUCUCUCAUUUUGGUUUUUCUUGGCUUUGUUUUGUUCCAAUAUUAAAGGAUUAGUUCGUGUGUAUGGAAUGUUCAUUGUUUUUAUUCAUAUUUUCUAAAAGGAUUUGGUAUGGAAUGUUCGCUGUUUUCAAUAAGUUCUGUAGGUUGGGAAUUCAGAGUUAUGCAUGUGUCGGAUCGAGAUUAGAUAAAAUGUUGUGUUUUUUUUGUUUCACCUUUUGUUUAUGUAUUUUUGGCAUCUGAAACAUGUAUUGUGGAAGUAUUUUUAUGAGGUGACACUUUGCUUGAUACCGAAUUUUAUUGGUUUAAAGUUGAUUGAGUUAAGUUAUUGUAGCGUAUUAGGCAUUGGCAAACGAUCUAUAAAUUUAUUAAUAUUUGAUAUCUAUGACCAAUUUGAGUUCAAGAAAAUAAUCUCACUUCAUAUUUUAAGCAUUAGAACUAAUAACAUUGUCAUAGAUAAUUGGGUAUUAGGUAAGACAGAUGUUAUAUUUUUGCUCCAUUUACGUUUAA